rnacentral:rRNA from 1 species
ACGCACGCUGGCGGCGUGCUUAACACAUGCAAGUCGCACGGAAAGGCCCUGCUUGCAGGGUACUCGAGUGGCGAACGGGUGAGUAACACGUGGGUGAUCUGCCCUGCACUUCGGGAUAAGCCUGGGAAACUGGGUCUAAUACCGGAUAGGAGCCAUUUUUAGUGUGAUGGUUGGAAAGUUUUUUUCGGUGUAGGAUGAGCUCGCGGCCUAUCAGCUUGUUGGUGGGGUAAUGGCCUACCAAGGCGGCGACGGGUAGCCGGCCUGAGAGGGUGGACGGCCACAUUGGGACUGAGAUACGGCCCAGACUCCUACGGGAGGCAGCAGUGGGGAAUAUUGCACAAUGGGCGCAAGCCUGAUGCAGCGACGCCGCGUGGGGGAUGACGGCCUUCGGGUUGUAAACUCCUUUCGCUAGGGACGAAGCUUUUUGUGACGGUACCUAGAUAAGAAGCACCGGCUAACUACGUG